rnacentral:rRNA from 1 species
CCAGCUCCAAUAGCGUAUAUUUAAGUUGUUGCAGUUAAAAAGCUCGUAGUUGGAUUUCGGGUGGGUUCUAGCGGUCCGCCUAUGGUGAGUACUGCURUGGCCCUCCUUUCUGYCGGGGACGGGCUCCUGGGCUUCACUGUCCGGGACUCGGAKUCGRCGWUGWUACUUUGAGUAAAUUAGAGUGUUCAAAGCARGCMUACGCYCUGAAUACUUUAGCAUGGAAUAWCRCGAUAGGACUCUGGCCUAUCUYGUUGGUCUGUAGGACCGGAGUAAUGAUUAAGAGGGACAGUCGGGGGCAUUCGUAUUUCAUUGUCAGAGGUGAAAUUCUUGGAUUUAUGAAAGACGAACUACUGCGAAAGCAUUUGCCAAGGAUGUUUUCAUUAAUCAAGAACGAAAGUUGGGGGCUCGAAGACGAUUAGAUACCGUCGUAGUCUCAACCAUAAACGAUGCCGACUAGGGAUUGGMGGAUGUUYUUUUGAUGACUYCKCCAGCACCUUAUGAGAAAUCAAAGUUUUUGGGUUCCGGGGGGAGUAUGGUCGCAAGGCUGAAACUUAAAGGAAUUGACGGAAGGGCACCACCAGGCGUGGAGCCUGCGGCUUAAUUCGACUCAAC